UACGGGGGGGGCAAGCGUUGUUCGGAAUUACUGGGCGUAAAGGGCUCGUAGGCGGCCAACUAAGUCAGACGUGAAAUCCCUCGGCUUAACCGGGGAACUGCGUCUGAUACUGGAUGGCUUGAGUUUGGGAGAGGGAUGCGGAAUUCCAGGUGUAGCGGUGAAAUGCGUAGAUAUCUGGAGGAACACCCGUAGCGAAGGCGGCAUCCUGGACCAUUACUGACACUGAAAAGCGAAAGCCAGGGGAGCAAACGGG
rnacentral:rRNA from 1 species